CCUCUGGUGCACCAGUUGUCACGCCAGUGGCACAGCUGGGUAGCUAUGUUGGGACUGGAUAAACGCUGAAAGCAUCUAAGCGUGAAGCCAACCUCAAGAUGAGAUUUCCCAUAGCGUAAGCUAGUAAGACUCCUGGAAGAACACCAGGUUGAUAGGUCAGAGAUGUAAGCAUGGCAACAUGUUAAGUUGACUGAUACUAAUAAGUCGAGGGCUUGACCAAAA
rnacentral:rRNA from 1 species